CUUAACAUGUCACACUGUGUACUAUGGGAUCUAGAUAAUAGUAACUUGGAAGUGGAGGCGGUAAUUCAUUUAGACAUUAUGAUUUGUCCCAUCCACUACAUUUUUACAGGCUGAUCACCGUAUUGUCCGAAAGUAAGAUGCCGUUGGUCCCGGUUACUACUCCAUAAAUGGCGAUGGAGUUGAGCGCUGAGGGCUCUCACCCGGUUUGGCCUGAGGGUGCUCAGCAGUAGCGGCCCUAGGGCGGUGCGAGGUGUGCCACCGCAAUCUCAUCAGCAUCAGCUCGUUGCAGAGACCGACUACUUAACGUGCCCUCCAAAGCACUCAUCUUACUUUCAGACUAUCGGGUGAUCAGCCUGCAAUAUUCUAACUAAGCUAGGGAUCACGUAGCGAUUUUUACUACCGCCCAUUUGUACUGUUGUUAAAUGUUUAUAUGUUUUGUUUGUGUGCAAUAAAGAUUUGAUUUGA